GCUCAGUUGGUUAAGCAUCUGACUCUUGAUUUCAGCUCAGGUGAUGAUCUCAUGGGUUCGUGGGAUCAAGCCCCACAUUGGGCU
rnacentral:tRNA from 1 species